AACAAGAUUUAUUUUCGUCUUGUCGAUGCAUUGCAAUAAGUGAUCUUCCUUCGUUUGUCCUCUAUAAUUCCGAAUAGAAACCCUUGCAUAUUAAAUUCGGCUGAUCUAGUAGAAUAUUAAAAUUAAUUUUCUUUAUGACAUGAUGAGAAAAAGAAUCGAGAAUGGCAGUGAGGAGAUGAAUCGAGAACGACGGUUAAAACAAGGGAAAAAAGAAGAAGAAGAGAGAAAGUCAGAGGUGAAAUUUUUUUUUCUUUUUUCUUCUUCAAG
rnacentral:lncRNA from 1 species